AACGCACCUUGCGCCUUAUGGCAUGCCAGUUUGAGAGCCUUAUCAUACUCGCGACAUAGCUUGCUGUGUAGCGGAUUUGAGUGUUGCCGGCUACGGCUCGCUCUGAAUGCAUGAGCGGUUAGAAGCUCCAAUAGCGUGAUAAGUAUCUACGCUAGGAAGAGUGGACGACUGCUUCAAAUCGUCUUCGGACAAUACUAAUGCUUGGCAUCAAAUUGGUAGGACUACCCGCUGAACUUAA
rnacentral:misc_RNA from 1 species